GACGGAGGGUGCUAGCGUUGUUCGGAAUCACUGGGCGUAAAGGGCGCGUAGGCGGCCUUGCAAGUCGGUUGGUGAAAGCCCGGGGCUCAACCCCGGAGGUGCGGCCGAGACUGCAGGGCUGGAGGCCGGAAGAGGAGGGUGGAAUACCCAGUGUAGAGGUGAAAUUCGUAGAUAUUGGGUGGAACACCGGUGGCGAGAGCGGCUCUCUGGGCCGAUACUGACGCUGAGGAGCGAAAGCGUGGGGAGCGAACAGG
rnacentral:rRNA from 1 species